GACAGAGGGUGCAAACGUUGUUCGGAAUUACUGGGCGUAAAGCGUGUGUAGGCGGCCAUGUAAGUCUGAUGUGAAAGCCCCGGGCUCAACUCGGGAAGUGCACUCGAUACUGCGUGGCUUGAGUACUGGAGAGGUUGGUGGAAUUCUCGGUGUAGAGGUGAAAUUCGUAGAUAUCGAGAGGAACACCGGUGGCGAAGGCGGCCAACUGGACAGAUACUGACGCUGAGACACGAAAGCGUGGGUAGCAAACAGG
rnacentral:rRNA from 1 species